GGGGCUGUAGCUUAGUGCUAGAGCUCUUGCCUAGGAUGCAUGAGGUGUUAGGUUCAAUCCCUAGUACUGCCG
rnacentral:tRNA from 1 species